ACGUAGGUGGCAAGCGUUGUCCGGAAUUAUUGGGCGUAAAGCGCGCGCAGGUGGUUAUAUAAGUCUAAUUUUAAAGUUCGGGGCUCAACCCCGUGAUGGAUUGGAAACUGUAUGACUUGAGUACAGUAGAGGUAAGCGGAAUUCCCAGUGUAGCGGGGAAGAGCGUGGAGAUUGGAAGGAACACCAGUGGCGAAGGCGGCUUACUGGGCUGAAACCAACACUGAGGCGCAAAAGCCAGGAGAGCAAACGG
rnacentral:rRNA from 1 species